rnacentral:sRNA from 1 species
UGCUUUAGUACGCCGCUGGCACCUUUACUCUCGCCGGCCGCGCAAACCCGUUUGUGCUCGGUAUCCUAGUGCACACGUCUUGCAAGCGACGGCGCCAUGAGUCUGACUUCCAGUUCCAGCGUACGAGCCCACUCCAUGCUGGGAAUAGACAACUCUCCUCUGAGGCUGAGGCUAACCAGAUUAUGCAGAACUUUCUUCUCUCCAACAUUGCCUGGAGCUGGGUUGAAUGGAUCGCAGCAGUUACCAUUGCUGCUGGGACAGCUGCAAUUGGUUAUCUAGCUUACAAAAGAUUUUAUGUUAAAGAUCAUCGAAAUAAAGCUAUGAUAAACCUUCACAUCCAGAAAGACAACCCCAAGAUAGUACAUGCUUUUGACAUGGAGGAUUUGGGAGAUAAAGCUGUGUACUGCCGUUGUUGGAGGUCCAAAAAGUUCCCAUUCUGUGAUGGGGCUCACACAAAACAUAACGAAGAGACUGGAGACAAUGUGGGCCCUCUGAUCAUCAAGAAAAAAGAAACUUAAAUGGACACUUUUGAUGCUGCAAAUCAGCUUGUCGUGAAGUUACCUGAUGGUUUAAUUAGAAUGACUACCACCUCUGUCUGAUUCACCUUCGCUGGAUUCUAAAUGUGAUAUUUAAUGAAGAUGGAUCCAUUAAAGGAGCCAAUAGUGAAAAUGUAGUUAAAGGUGAUAUUACAUUUAAAU